rnacentral:tRNA from 1 species
GCGGGUGUAAUUCAGUGGCAGAAUAACAGCUUCCCAAGCUGUGUAUGGCGGUUCGAUUCCGCUCACCCGCU